UUCAGAUAUUGGCUCAGUGGUUAGAGCGUAGGUCUCGUAAACGAAAGGUUGCGGGAUCAAAUCCCGCUAGAGGCUGAAA
rnacentral:tRNA from 1 species